ACAUCUUAAGCUGAAUGGUUCAGCAAUAUUCUUCGGAAAUAUGAUUUAUUGGUUCGAAUCCAAUAAGAUGUU
rnacentral:tRNA from 1 species